rnacentral:rRNA from 1 species
AUGAGGAUCACGGCUUGGAACCGCCGGGGGUUGGGGAACGGCCCGGCAGUGAGAGGGCUUCUGGAUCUGCAGAAGCAGGAGGACCCUGAUAUUCUUUUCUUGUCAGAAACCAAACUGAAUGGAAGGAAAAUGGAAAAUCUGAAAUGGCGAUUGGGAAUGAAUAACCUAGUGACGAGGGACUGUGAAGGAAAAAGUGGAGGCCUUGCACUCUUAUGGAAGAAAGAUAUUCAAGUGGAACUCCAUAACUACUCCAGAUAUCAUAUAGAUGUGGUGAUAACUGAAGGAGAUGGUUUCAGAUGGAGAUUUACCGGAAUUUAUGGUGAACCUGCUACUGAAAAGAAGAACAUAACUUGGAAAUUACUGAGUAUUCUGAAUCAACAUCUCAACCUACCGUGGCUUUGCGUAGGUGACUUUAAUGAAAUCCUUUACACUCAUGAAAAUAAAGGAGGGCCAAAUAGACCACAAUCAGCGAUGGAGAAAUUCAGACUAGCACUUGCUGAAUGUGGUUUAAGGGAUCUUGGCUAUAUAGGAGACAAGUUCACCUGGCGAAACAACAACCAUAUAGCUAGUCGGUAUAUAAACGAGAGGUUAGACAGAGCAGUGGGUGAUCAAAACUGGUGCAACCGAUUUCCCUCAUAUACGAUGGUGAAUGGAGACCCAAGGCACUCAGACCAUCGCCAGUCACUGUUCGGGUAG